rnacentral:misc_RNA from 1 species
GGUGACAUUGUCAGAGCUCUAGUGGUAUCCUUCGUGCUUGAAGUUCUGCUAUUGUUUUGUGAAAAAUAUCAGUAAAUUAACAUUUAUUGUGGUAUCAUAAGAAAUCAUUUUGCGUGCUAAUUCUUGAUCAACUUAAAUCAUGCAUUUUUUUUAAAGGGUUUUAAUGCUUGGGUAGGAGGUUCCAAUAAAAAUAAAUUCAAAUAUAAUUGUCAUUGACUAAUAUAUGCGUGUAGCACCAGUGCUCUUGAUAUCCAAAUAUCUCAAACUAAUAUUACUGGAUUAUGGCGACAUUAUUAGACUCUGGAUCUAUGGACGUUUCACUGCUGGAAAGGACAAUAGUUUUUCUCUUAUGUUAAUGAUUUCUUGCUGACGUCCACAUCAAUAUUUUCACAUAGAGUUUAGAUGAAAUGUGGAGGAAGCUUGGGUAAAACAAAUGCAGAGUUUUUAAUCUUUGGGAAUUCGGUACACCUUGGAAAGCUGUUAUCCCUAGUUCAAGCCAUUAUUUAGGGAAUUCUUGAAUUGAGUAUAUGUGGCAGAAAAAGGUAAAUUCUCUGAGUCAAUCAAGAUUAGAAUAGGCCUUUUCUUAUCCCAAAUUGGAAUUUUGGCCUUUCCAUCCCUGCUUUCUCUCUUCUCUCUCUCUCUCU